GGCCGGGUUGCUCCGCUUUCCGCCGCUGCUGCCUGUCCUCAUCGCAACAAAGACCUUGUGCUGCAAAAGCUGAAACUGUGCAGGUGGGUCUCCUGGACAGGUCUCUAUUAGAACAAUGGUAGCUGCAAAGAAGGGGAUGAGGGAGCUGGACAUAAAGCAUGGGAGCACUGCGGGGCAAGGAGGACACAUGGCCCAUCAGCAGACUUACUGCUUUUGCUGGAUGGAAUCUCCCAGUUUUGUCUACCCGUUCUGGGGCGUCGGGCUGGCUGCUAACUGCGAGUGCUAAAGGACUCCAGAAGGUUACAGACCUCAAAGGGAUGGUGAUGCACACGUGCGGCUGACAGCUCUCCUCUCUUGACAUCGGAAAUGGCUAUGUGGGCUCCCUUCAUUGUCUGCCAAUGAGCUUCCCCCCAGACUUGGAAGAACUAGAUCCAGGGGUGAGAGAGUAACUGGGUGUCUCUGGCUCAGUUCCAGCCUUCGUUUGUCUACUGAGAUUUCCAGCAAUGGGUAGGGGAGCAAUUAGCACCAGUUGCAGUCACAGUUGUGAUGGGGGCAGUGUCUGCAGGGUGAUGGACUGAGACCACACACUUCUUUCCUAAGGAUCAGCAAACAGCCACCAGAUGGUCACCUUAACCUCAGCUACAUUCAAAACCAGGACCUACCAGGAGCGGUGAAAUCCUUUGUAUUUCAUUUCCAGUCUCAAGCCAAUCAGUCCCUCCUGCUUCCGCCAUCCCAGCACAGACCCCACGCGCCAGCGGGAACAUUCACAUCGAAACGCCAGCUCUCCCCAAAAAGGCUCUGGCUUGUGGGCCCAUUUUAAGAUGCUGUCUUUUCACUGGGAUGGGUUGUGGUUUUGCUAGUG